GAUGAACGCUAGCGGCAGGCCUAAUACAUGCAAGUCGAACGGGAUCAGGGGGCUUGCUCCCUGUGAGAGUGGCGCACGGGUGCGUAACACGUAUGCAACCUACCUUCAACUGGGGGAUAGCCUUCCGAAAGGAAGAUUAAUACCGCAUAACAUAAUUGAAUGGCAUCAUUUGAUUAUCAAACGUCAGGGUUGAAGAUGGGCAUGCGUCCGAUUAGCUAGUUGGUGUGGUAACGGCACACCAAGGCGACGAUCGGUAGGGGAUCUGAGAGGAUGACCCCCCACACUGGUACGGAGACACGGACCAGACUACUACGGGAGGCAGCAGUAAGGAAUAUUGGUCAAUGGACGCAAGUCUGAACCAGCCAUGCCGCGUGCAGGAAGACGGUCCUCUGGAUUGUAAACUGCUUUUGUUAGGGAAGAAACCCUCGGAUGCGUCCGGGGCUGACGGUACCUAAAGAAUAAGGAUCGGCUAACUCCGUGCCAGCCGCCGCAGUAACAC
rnacentral:rRNA from 1 species